UCCCUGGUGGCUCAGACAGUAAAGCAUCUGUCUGCAAUGCAGGAGACCCAGGUUCGAUCCCUAGAUAGGGAA
rnacentral:tRNA from 1 species